rnacentral:lncRNA from 1 species
GAGUGAAAAGACUAAACCCUAAUUAAGGCUGAGCCUUUUAACACUUUAAUUCUUGUGAUACAUCAGAAUUUUAUUUCCAGAUCUUCCCUUUUCUUUAGAGGAAAGACUACAAUCAGAAUUGUAUCUGCUCUUCACUACCAUUGUUAUCCGGGUGUUUUUAUUCCAGAAACUUAUUUUAUUGAUGUGCUAUGACACUGUAAUGUUCUGUACUUUAACAACUGUCAUAUAAGUGAAAUUUGAUAUUAUAAAUAACUUUUCCUAGGAUAUUAGCUAAAUAUUGUAAAAAUCAAUCUGUACUUUGAAUUCUCCUAACUCAAGAAAUUCCAGGUCACCAUAUCUUUGUUUUACAGAAUUAAUUUUUAAUUUCUUCAAAUCCCCUGAAUUGCCAUUAGAAGUACAUAAAAGGCCAGCAUCUAGAAUUUACGAAUAUGCUUGUGUUGAUCAUGCUGCUGUUAACCAAUCUGGAAUACAGUCAUUGGGUUUUUCAAGAAGAAGAAAAUGUUUUAACUUCCCUAGACAGGUAGUCCUUUAUUAUGAAAUCAUGUUUUCACUUGGAAAACUCUAGACAGAUGAAUUCCUGAAAACAGGUUAUUCACUGAGAGCAUUUAAUCUUAAAAACUUAUGGCCUGGGGAUUAAGAUAAGCUCUCAGGAGAGAUUCCUGAUACCAAACAGGUUUGGCAGUCAAUUUCUGGCAGCUCAGCACCAGAGAAAGGAGGGAUUCUGCUGUCCUUCUGAAUCUCUUCUUAAUUGUUAACUCUAGAAAGCAGUAGGAAAAAAGAGCCGUAGGAUUUUAGCUUUGCAAGGAAAAGAGUUUACAUCUUGCUGUUUUUAAAGUAAUAGAUUUUAGAGUGUUCUAAUCUAAACAUUUCA